rnacentral:rRNA from 1 species
GACAGAGGGUGCAAACGUUGUUCGGAAUUACUGGGCGUAAAGCGUGCGCAGGCGGCUUCUCAAGUCAGGGGUGAAAGCCCAGAGCUCAACUCUGGAAUUGCCUUUGAGACUGAGUGGCUUGAGUUCGGCAGGGGAGACUGGAAUUCCUGGUGUAGCGGUGAAAUGCGUAGAUAUCAGGAGGAAUACCGGUGGUGUAGACGGCUCUCUGGACCGCCACUGACGCUGAGACACGAAAGCGUGGGUAGCAAACAGG